rnacentral:rRNA from 1 species
UGGGGGAUAUUGCACAAUGGGCGCAAGCCUGAUGCAGCGACGCCGCGUGAGGGAUGACGGCUUUCGGGUUGUAAACCUCUUUCGACACGGAACAAGGCUCUGCUUUUGUGGGGUUGAGGGUACGUGUAUAAGAAGCGCCGGCUAACUACGUGCCAGCAGCCGCGGUAAUACGUAGGGCGCGAGCGUUGUCCGGAAUUAUUGGGCGUAAAGAGCUCGUAGGCGGCUUGUCGCGUCUGCUGUGAAAAUGCGGGGCUUAACUCCGCACGUGCAGUGGGUACGGGCAGGCUAGAGUGCGGUAGGGGUGACUGGAAUUCCUGGUGUAGCGGUGGAAUGCGCAGAUAUCAGGAGGAACACCGAUGGCGAAGGCAGGUCACUGGGCCGUUACUGACGCUGAGGAGCG